AGGCGAAUCCCAAAAGGCGUCUCAGUUCGGAUUGCAGGCUGCAACUCGCCUGUAUGAAGUCGGAAUUGCUAGUAAUCGCGGAUCAGCAUGCCGCGGUGAAUACGUUCCCGGGCCUUGUACACACCCGCCCGUCACACCAUGAGAGCCGGGAACACCCGAAGUCCGUAGUCUAACCGCAAGGAGGACGCGGCCGAAGGUGGGUUUGGUAAUUGGGGUGAAGUCGUAACAAGGUAAC
rnacentral:rRNA from 1 species